GAUGAACGCUGGCGGCGUGCCUAAUACAUGCAAGUCGAGCGAACGGACGAGAAGCUUGCUUCUCUGAUGUUAGCGGCGGACGGGUGAGUAACACGUGGAUAACCUACCUAUAAGACUGGGAUAACUUCGGGAAACCGGAGCUAAUACCGGAUGAUAUUUUGAACCGCAUGGUUCAAAAGUGAAAGACGGUCUUGCUGUCACUUAUAGAUGGAUCCGCGCUGCAUUAGCGAGUUGGUAAGGUAACGGCUUACCAAGGCAACGAUGCAUAGCCGACCUGGGAGGGUGAUCGGCCCCACUGGAACUGAGACACGGUCCAGACUCCUACGGGAGGCAGCAGUAGGGAAUCUUCCGCAAUGGGCGAAGGCCUGACGGAGCAACGCCGCGUGAGUGAUGAAGGUCUUCGGAUCGUAAAACUCUGUUAUUAGGGAAGAACAUAUGUGUAAGUAACUGUGCACAUCUUGACGGUACCUAAUCAGAAAGCCACGGCUAACUACGUG
rnacentral:rRNA from 1 species